UACGUAGGGGGCAAGCGUUAUCCGGAAUUACUGGGUGUAAAGGGUGAGUAGGCGGUUAGGCAAGCCAUAUGUGAAAGUCUAUGGCUCAACCAUAGGAAUGCAUAAGGAACUGCGUAACUAGAGUACAGGAGAGGCAAGUGGAAUUCCUAGUGUAGCGGUGAAAUGCGUAGAUAUUAGGAGGAACACCAGUGGCGAAGGCGACUUGCUGGACUGGGAACUGACGCUGAGUCACGAAAGCGUGGGGAGCAAACAGG
rnacentral:rRNA from 1 species